rnacentral:rRNA from 1 species
ACUCCUACUGGAGGCAGCAGUGGGGAAUUUUCCGCAAUGGGCGAAAGCCUGACGGAGCAACGCCGCGUGAGGGAUGAAGGCCUCUGGGCUGUAAACCUCUUUUCUCAAGGAAGAAGAUCUGACGGUACUUGAGGAAUAAGCCACGGCUAAUUCCGUGCCAGCAGCCGCGGUAAUAC